GAAUCCCCCCACCAUAGUUUCAACUUUCACGGCUGCCGCCAUUUCUUCCGUAUCAACCCGCUACCAGACACCUGGGGCUCUGCAAACACUUGAGCUUCACUGCAGAGCCUACAAUAAUGGCGUUCUCGUCUUCGAUUUCUCCGUGCAAGCUCUCCUCCAACCCAUUAUUGGGAGCCGCCAAUGUCCGGCCUAAAGCUAAGAAGACGCCCCCCGCCGACAUGCACAAGAUCUGCCCUUUCUCUGCCCUCCCCCGCUCCGCUUUCUCUAAACUUGAAUUUAAUACCCAUGGGGGAAGAAGAGAAUUAUCAAGUUUCAGCGUAUAUUCUGCUAUUAUUAGCCCAGAGCGCACUGCUGAGGAAACUAUAGAGAAAAUUCAGCUUCCAAAGGGUGAUAGUUGGGGUGUACAUAAAUUUGGGGGUACCUGUGUGGGAAACUCAGACAGGAUCCGCAAUGUUGCAAAUGUUAUUGUUAAAGACCAAUCAGAAAGAAAGCUGGUUGUUGUGUCUGCAAUGUCAAAAGUGACGGAUAUGAUGUAUGAUCUGAUUCAUAAAGCAGAGUCCAGAGAUGACUCAUAUAUAACUGCAUUAGAUGCUGUUCUUGAAAAACAUAAGUUAACAGCAGUAGAUCUGCUAGAUGGAGAUGAGCUUGCUAGUUUUUUAUCUAAGCUCCAAGGUGACAUCAAAAACCUCAAAGCUAUGCUUCGUGCAAUAUACAUUGCUGGUCACGCAACAGAAUCUUUUUCAGCUUUUGUUGUAGGCCAUGGGGAAUUGUGGUCGGCUCAUUUAUUGUCAUGUGUUGUUAGAAUGAAUGGAGUGGACUGCAAAUGGAUGGACACUAGGGAGGUCCUUAUUGUGAAUCCUUCUGGUUCGAAUCAAGUUGAUCCUGAUUAUUUGGAGUCACAAGAAAGACUUGAGAAAUGGUACUCUAGGAAUCCAUCUAAAACAAUCAUCGCAACUGGCUUUAUAGCCAGCACUGCUCAGAACAUCCCUACAACUCUGAAAAGGGAUGGUAGCGACUUUUCUGCUGCUAUUAUGGGUGCUUUAUUUAAAGCACGCCAAGUAACUAUCUGGACAGAUGUUGAUGGUGUAUAUAGUGCAGACCCAAGAAAAGUUAAUGAGGCAGUGAUACUGAAGAAAUUAUCUUAUCAAGAAGCUUGGGAAAUGUCAUACUUUGGUGCCAAUGUCUUGCAUCCUCGGACAAUUGUUCCAGUUAUGCAAUAUGAUAUUCCGAUUGUUAUAAAAAAUAUCUUUAACCUUUCUGCUCCUGGAACAAUGAUCUGCCGGUCUAAUGAGACCGAGUUUGAAGAUGGAGAGAAACCAGAAGCUCUUGUCAAAGGAUUUGCAACAAUAGACAAUGUGGCACUAGUGAAUGUUGAAGGAACUGGAAUGGUUGGUGUCCCAGGUACAGCUAGUGCAAUUUUUAAUGCUGUUAAAGAUGUUGGAGCUAAUGUAAUCAUGAUAUCACAGGCUAGUAGUGAGCAUUCUGUAUGUUUUGCCGUGCCUGAAAAGGAAAUUAAAGCUGUUGCUGAAGUUUUAGAGUCUAGAUUUAAGCAAGCAUUGGGUGUUGGGCGAAUCUCUCAGAUUUCAGUUAUACCAAACUGUAGCAUUUUGGCCGCAGUUGGCCAGAGAAUGGCAAGUACCCCUGGAGUCAGUGCUACCCUUUUCUCCGCACUUGCAAAGGCUAACAUCAAUAUCCGUGCUAUAGCUCAAGGUUGCUCAGAGUAUAAUAUUACAGUAGUUAUAAAGAAAGAAGACUGUGUGAAGGCUUUACAUGCUGUGCACUCAAGAUUUUAUUUGUCAAGAACCUCAAUUGCGGUGGGCAUUAUUGGACCUGGGUUGAUCGGUGGUACUCUGCUUAACCAGUUCAAGGACCAGACCGCUGUCCUAAAGGAAAAAUUUAACAUUGAUUUGCGUGUUUUGGGUAUCAUUGGACUGAAUACAAUGCUAUUGAGUGAGACGGAUAUAGACUUGUCAAGUUGGACUGGCCUGCUAAAGGAAGGGGAAAAGGCCGACUUAGAGAAGUUCGUUCAGCAUGUGAGUGAAAAUCACUUCAUACCAAAUACUGUUUUGGUAGACUGUACAGCAGACGCUUACAUUGCGAGCCACUACUAUGAGUGGUUGCAUAGAGGAAUACAUGUGAUCACGCCUAAUAAGAAAGCAAAUUCGGGACCCCUCGAUCAGUACUUGAAGCUGAGAGAUUUGCAACGCCAAUCAUAUACACAUUACUUUUAUGAGGCCACUGUUGGAGCAGGUCUUCCAAUUAUUAGCACCUUACGUGGCCUUCUGGAAACCGGGGACAAGAUAUUGAAGAUUGAGGGCAUAUUCAGUGGAACUCUUAGCUACAUAUUCACCAACUUCAUUGGGGAACGGGCUUUUAGUGAGGUGGUGAAGGAGGCAAAAGACGCAGGUUUUACAGAACCAGACCCAAGGGAUGACUUGUCUGGAACAGAUGUUGGCAGAAAGGUUGUAAUUCUAGCAAGAGAAUGUGGUUUGAAGCUAGAACUUUCUGAUUUACCUGUUCAGAGCCUUGUUCCAGAAAAAUUACAGGCAAGUGCAUCAGCUGAGGACUUUAUGCAGCAGCUGCCAACAUUUGAUCAAGACAUGACUAAACAAAGAAUUGAAGCUGAAGAUGCAGGGGAGGUUUUAAGAUAUGUUGGGAUAGUGGACGUGGCGAACCAAAGAGGGAGUGUAGAACUGCAGAGAUACAAGAAAGACCACCCAUUUGCUCAACUCUCAGGAUCUGAUAACAUCAUUGCAUUCACAACCGAAAGGUACUCCAAGCAGCCUCUGAUCGUACGCGGCCCUGGAGCCGGUGCUGAAGUUACUGCCGGUGGGGUGUUCAAUGACAUUCUGCGACUCGCCUCCUAUCUUGGUGCUCCCUCAUAACUCAUACAUUCAGGGAGCUUCGCUGGUGGUAUGUUUUCAUGGUGUUUUAGCCUCAAAAUUGCGGGGCAUAGCAGCAUUUAUAGUGACAGCAUUUGUAGUGGUUAGUUGAGCCUCUGAGUUGUGCUAAUGUGUGCCUUUUCAGUUGCUCCUAUUGUUUUCUUUUUCUGCAAACUAUUAUUAUCUUUCUAUGUUCUGUAAGAACUAUUUUCAGUUCCCAUAAAUUUCAUGCUAUUGGGCAUGUGCAAAAUUUGUAGGCAUUGGGGUAA